CGUGGGCAACAUACCCUUUCCUGCGGAAUAGCUCCGGGAAACUGGAAUUAAUACCGCAUACGCCCUACGGGGGAAAGAUUUAUCGGGGAAGGAUUGGCCCGCGUUGGAUUAGCUAGUUGGUGGGGUAAAGGCCUACCAAGGCGACGAUCCAUAGCUGGUCUGAGAGGAUGAUCAGCCACAUUGGGACUGAGACACGGCCCAAACUCCUACGGGAGGCAGCAGUGGGGAAUAUUGGACAAUGGGCGCAAGCCUGAUCCAGCCAUGCCGCGUGAGUGAUGAAGGCCUUAGGGUUGUAAAGCUCUUUCACCGAUGAAGAUAAUGACGGUAGUCGGAGAAGAAGCCCCGGCUAACUUCGUGCCAGCAGCCGCGGUAAUACGAAGGGGGCUAGCGUUUGUUCGGAAUUACUGGGCGUAAAGCGCACGUAGGCGGAUAUUUAAGUCAGGGGUGAAAUCCCCGCAGCUCAACUGCGGAACUGCCUUU
rnacentral:rRNA from 1 species